CAGUCGCCGCGGUAAUACGUAGGUGGCAAGCGUUGUCCGGAAUUAUUGGGCGUGAAGGGCUCGCAGGCGGUUUCUUAAGUCUGAUGUGAAAGCCCCCGGCUCAACCGGGGAGGGUCAUUGGAAACUGGGAAACUUGAGUGCAGAAGAGGAGAGUGGAAUUCCACGUGUAGCGGUGAAAUGCGUAGAGAUGUGGAGGAACACCAGUGGCGAAGGCGACUCUCUGGUCUGUAACUGACGCUGAGGAGCGAAAGCGUGGGGAGCGAACAGGAUUAGAUACCCCCGUAGUCCCUGUCUCUUAUAC
rnacentral:rRNA from 1 species